UCCCUGCCCUCCAGGAGCUCCAGGUCUGGGGCGGGUAAGGGGCUUCCCAGAGGAGGGA
rnacentral:miRNA from 1 species